GUUUCUACGCUGCCUCCCAGGAUGGAAACAGGACGAGUGAAGGAGGGAAGUCCCCAGACGCAGCAUGACUGCUUGCAUUAAGGGAUACUGAGCUUUAUCCAGCUCCAAGUGCCCCCAAACCUCGUAACCUCACAAAUUAGGGAGUCUCCAGUCUACUUAGGAGGAAGCUGCCAAGAGGUUUGAUCAUCAGAGAGGAGACAGAACCACAUCAAUCAAGGAGUAUAAGCUACAAGCCCCACAAAAUCUCAAUCCACCUCUUGAAUGCCUGUAGUAGCUUCUAUACCUGAAAAUCACUCUUGCCGGGACUGUGGGAGACACUGAUUCUGUCUCUGGUGGAGAGGCAGUGUGUCAACAAUGGUUGGGGUCACGGACUCCAGGGCCAGACCGCCAGGGUUCAAAUGCCAGGUACAGCAUGAACCAGGGAGCCUUAGAAGGCACUUCAUAGGUCUUAAAUAUAUUAUUAUUGCUUUAGAUACGUCAAUUCCUGUUCUAAAUACUUAUUCAGAUAUAAUGAUUGCAAGAUACAGAAUUAUAAGAAACAAUUUGUAACCAUAUUUUAUGUAGAGUAAUUUUUAACUAAAACACUACAUUAAAAGUAAAG
rnacentral:lncRNA from 1 species